GAGCGCGGCGGGAGAACCGGCAGCUCCGGGCAGCGGCCGCCGGCCCCUCACACCCCGCUGUACCCCCCCGCCGAGGUGAGGAGGCGCGGAGAGGGGUUGCAGGGGGAGGGAAGGAGACGCCUCCCCGCCGCGGUGUCUCCUCAGGCUGCGGGUAACACCUCCCGCCCCCCCACCCGCCCCUCGGCACCGCGGGGCUGCCUUCCCGAGGCGGCGCCGGUAGUUCCCGGCUGUUCUCUCACCUGACCGGGUCCCGGGGGAAGCGGAAGAAGGCCAGGAAGGUGUCGUUAUGCCACAGCCAAGAUGAAUAAUGAGAGGAACCACAAAUGUUUCAAGCAAUAAAGUAAUCCAACAGGGAGUGUACCCAGCAUGAAGAGUUUGUCAGGUCUGGCAUAGGGUAAAAUGAGACAAAGCUUAGGAAAAAAAAAGGACAAGCAUACACACUUGUUAUCAUAGAUUAUAAGCAAAGAAAUCUCAGGUAGCUGCUCAGCUGGCUCCAAAACUGGAAGAUGUAUAGCUUGGUCUGUAUCUGAAGUAACUGGACUUGGUGAUAGGCAACUGGCUUCAGGAUUUGAGCUAGAACUCUAUGCAGUACCAAGCAACAAUAUAGGAAUGCAUCAGCUAGCUCUAUAUCACAGUAUCACAGUAUGUUUGGGAUUGGAAGGGGUCUCAAAAGAUCAUCUAGUCCAAUCCCCCUGCUGGAGCAGGAACGCCUAAGUGAGGUCGCACAGGAACAUGUCCAGGCGGGUUUUGAAUGUCUGCAGAGAAGGAGACUCCACAACCUCCCUGGGCAGCCUGGGCCAGGCUCUGCCACCCUCACUGAGAAGAAGUUUCUUCUCAAAUUUAAGCGGAACCUCUUGUGUUCCAGCUUGAUCCCAUUACCCCUUGUCCUAUCAUUGUUUGCCACCGAGAAGAGCCUGGCUCCAUCCUCAUGGCACUCACCCUUUAUAUAUUUGUAAACAUUAAUGAGGUCCCCCCUUAGUCUCCUCUUCUCCAGACUAAAGAGACCCAGCUCCCUCAGCCUUUCUUCAUAAGGGAGAUGCUCCACUCCCUUCAGCAUCUUUGUUGCCCUACGCUGGACCCUCUCCAGCAGUUCCCUGUCCUUCUUGAACUGAGGGGCCCAGAACUGGACACAAUAUUCCAGGUGUGGUCUCCCCAGGGCAGAGUAGAGGGGCAGGAGAACGUCUCUGACCUACUGACCACCCCCCUUCUCAUCCACCCCAGGUACCAUUGGCCUUCCUGGCCACAAGGGCACAGUGCUGGCUCAUGGUCAUCCUGCUGUCCCCAGGACCCCCAGGUCCCUUUCCCCUACACUGCUCUCUAAUAUGUAAUUUCCCAACCUAUACUGGAACCUGGGGUUGUUCCUGCCCAGAUACAAGACUCUACACUUUCCCUCGUUAAAUUUCAUUAGGUUAUUCCCCGCCCAACUCUCCAGCCUGUCCAGGUCUCUGAUGGCAGCACAGCCUCUGGCGUGUCAGCCACUCCUCCCAGCUUGGUGUCAUCAGUAAACUUGCUGAUAGUCACUCUAUUCCCUCGUCAAGAUGUCUUGAGGAUUUUUGGAGCAAGUCCCACUCCAUGGUGGUGUAAAACAAUGCUCUAAUUAACUUCUACCUGGAUGGGAGCACUCUGCCAUGGAUAAAGAACUGGCUGAAGGAGCGGGCUCAAAGAGCUGUGGUGAAUGGAGCCAAAUCUGGUUGGCAGCCGGUCACAAGCGCUGUUCCCCAGGGCUCAGUAUUGGGGCCAGUUCUGUUUAAUCUCUUUAUCGAUGAUCUGUAUGAAAGGAAAAGAAAAAGAAACAGAAAACUGGGUAGUUGGAAGAAGAAAAAGAAUAAUUCCCCAAAUGUGGUCUGCUGGUAGUUUGAAGUAGAUACAGCAGCUGUGAAAUGUAUGAGUGCUGAUGGCAAAUGAUAAUUGUUUCAGGUGUGGUAGUGCUAUAGUGUAAAAAUUCAGCUUUGAUAAACCUUUUGUAUAUCUUAAAAGCCACGAAAAAACAUCCUGAUAUUGGGAUUUGUUGGGCUUUAGAAAACAUAGUCCAAAUGUAUGAAAUGGCCAAAAGGGCAUAAAGGAAAAACAAAAAAAAAGAAGUCCCUUGAUUCCUUUUGUCUUCAAAACUUGUAAGCUUUUUUGUUCGAUAUGAGUAGAACAAAAGCUGUCGUCUACAUGAGAAGGCCUUGUCAUCAUGCACCCUUCAAAAUAGGAAUCUCAAAGCAUGUUUCAUUUGACUAAUAUCAAUAACAUCAAUUUAUUUGGUGUUAAUUCUUUACCAGAACUCAGGCAUGUAUCUCAGUUCAUUCCUUCCAAGUGGUUUUGAGUAGUUGAUUAAGCCAAUACUAAAGAUAAGUUUAGCUGCACCUGACUGCUUGCACUUUACUGGGCAAUUGCCAAGGUUUGUAUAUAGUGAACUGUACAAGGGAGUUAAUCAGAUAAGUAACCUUUUUUUAAGUACACUCAUUUGCCUUUAGGUUAGAUGUAAUUUGGGUAGCUGCCAUCUGAUUUGUUGUGCAGAUUGCCUAAGUGUUUCUGCUGAUGCAGAGGAACACACAGAAGAGAGCAGGAUCAUCUUCAGUUGUAUGACUGUAUAAUGUUAAUGUGAAGCUGUGUAAUUUUCAAACUCUUUUAAAAUCUGCUUUGGUAUGAAAAAGUACUUCUUCACCCUUAAAUAACUCUUAUCUUUUGCCCAAGAUCGAAGGGCCUUUUCCCCUCCAAACUGAUUCACCAAAUGAAAGUGCAUAUGUACUGAAACUCUGUCUUAUGGUUCUGGACAAGCAAAACCAGAACAUUGUAAUAACAAUAUUAAAUUAAACAUGGCACAUAUUUCUGAACUGUUGCUUCUGACUGAAGCUUCUGUUGAUACUGCAUCAUUUGAAUUAUAGAAUCAUUGAACAGUUUGUGUUGGAAUUGCUACACAAGCAUGUUAUGGCUUUUACCUCCUAAAUGUGUAUAUAUUUGCAUAUGAGCCUUCCUAAUAAAAUUAAUGCAAUGGCUUACACAUAAAGUUAACUUAGUGAAGGCUUCUAGGCGAUCUUUUUUUAUGGGGAGACUAAUUUUGAAGCAAUUCCUAUAUAAUCAAAAGAACACAAACUUAAUUAUUUUCAAAACCCAACAAUAUUAUUAGAAGCCCAUUAUUUUUAAAGAAAAUUAGUUUACUAAGUUGAAAAUUCCAAAAAUUAGCUUCUUUUUUAGAGUACAGAAACCACAAAACCCUUUUAUUUUCUUGCAGAGCAGCCUUUGAAUUGUACAUAUAUAAUUUGUAUGCUGGUAAUUUUGUGUCUUAAACAAUCCUCCAUAUUAUUGCAGUAUUGCUCACAAUGUAUUUCCAAGUGUGUCUGUCUAUUAUGUAUUAUAGACUGUGUUAGUAGCCUUGUAUGUAUGAUCUCUAUUCUCUGGAUAAAUUAUUCUUUAAGGAAUUUUGUGUGUUCAUGUGGAUGUCUUAAUUGCUUUAUUUGAAUGCUGUGUCUUUAAGGUCAGCUGUGUCUCAAAUCCAGGAUUGUAUAUCAUAAAUAGUGGUUGUAAAAUAAGCUCUCUAAUUUAUUUCUGGAAAUGAUCCUAAAGUAAAAGUCAGUAUGCCUUUAUUUUCUGAUUGUACUGUUUAAGUGCAAUUGUCUACUCAUGCAGGCCUCCUGCUAUUAAAAGUUUGUUUGCAAGAGAA